GCUUACGACUACACCUGCCUGAGUACCCCUGAUCUCGUAUGAUCUCGGAAGCUAAGUAGGGUCGGGCCUGUUUAGUACUUGGAUGGGUGACCGCCUGGGAAUACCAGGUGCUGUAAGCU
ensembl:rRNA 5S_rRNA 5S ribosomal RNA